GCGGGAAUAGCUCAGUUGGUAGAGCACGACCUUGCCAAGGUCGGGGUCGCGAGUUCGAGUCUCGUUUCCCGCA
rnacentral:tRNA from 1 species